CUCGCUCGCUCGCUCGCUCGCUACCGUACGGAGGAGGAAAGGAGAGCGCAGAGAACAACUCGCCGGGUAUUGUACCGAUAGAAGUAGCAGCGCUGCUCGGGCCUUUAAUCCUUUUGGAGUCUACCGAUGCAUGUGUUAUUAGGGUGGGGAGAGGACGCAGUAAUGGGAUAGAGAACUUGACAAAAGUAAUCUACUUCAAAUAGCCUCUCUACCCAAGAAGUUUUGAUGAAAGUAAUGCUAAAACCCUUAGAAGGCAAUGACGUCAAAGUCUGGAUGGAAAUAUGGAGAAUAAGACACCAAUGAUCAAUUCAACAUUUACUAAGAGAUGUGUGUCAUUAGUGGAACUUUGACACUUAAACCCCUGCUUUGACCUUCUUGAAAAUAAUAAUCGACAGUGUUAUGGUCUUAUUAUUGUAAGAUCAGCAAUUUUUUGGUCUAUGCUGUCACAAAAGGUAACUGUCUGGGAUUGUAUUGAUUUUAUGCAGACUAAGUUCAAGGUCCAAUGAUAAGACCCAACCUGAUGACAGGCUGGAGAAGACAGGAGCUCAUCACAACAGGGCAACGUCAAACUACCAGGACAGACUGCAGUACUGAGUGGUCACAGUUCAACUGUCUCCCUGAACUAAUUUUAUUAAGGCCGAUUUUAGGUCACCUCUUCUGAAUAUAAAUUCUUGUGAAAUUCCGGAGGUGAUCUCAACACAAUUUUCAAAUAUACCAUUUCCCCCAUUCAUUAAUUUAACAAACAAUGAGCACCUCCAAAGUCCCCAGCAUGUUAAGACUCUGCAGAUCCAGAACAAGUCGCUGCAUUUAUGGAGCUUACAUUCUAAUGGGCAUUCAUUCUAGCAUGUCCAUCAGACUUUUGUACAAGGCCUGAUAAAACUCAUACUUUCCAAAGCCUCUCCCCUGAAUAGUAUUUAAUAAUAAAGCUCAAAGUUCAAACUGUA